UAUAUGUAUAACUUCAUAGAGAGCUAAUGAGAAAGCAAGGUUAAACAGUGAUUAGAGUGCUUCACAUUACCUACUCAAGGCACAUCCAGACCACAGCUACUAUUGAUCCUGUCAGCUAUUGUUUGUGUUUAACAGAGAGGGCAGUCAUUCUAUUGACAGUCGGGAGUUCCAGACGCGGACAAGAAAAGGAAGAUGAGAGUGGGGAUGUCAGGGAAAGCAAAUGUUGCAAGAGGUGGUUUCACUUCAUGAAGGCAGCAGG